UUCACUUCAAUCAAUUUUUUAGAUCUGUUCUGAUCAGUUUAGUAUCAGAUCUGUCUCUGUGAAAACUUUAUAUUAACUGGGUGUUUGAAAUAGGAGCUUGUUCCAUCUACUGCACGCAUUAACCUGGUAUUGCAGAACUGUCAAGAACGGUGCAUCUCCC
rnacentral:snRNA from 1 species